rnacentral:lncRNA from 1 species
UUUUAACUCUUCAAUUUUAAUAUUUUUCAUUGAUUUGACUUCAAAAGAGAAGUAACUUUCUAAAUAAAAUUCACGCUUUGCUAAUAUGGCUCUAAUUUAUUGUUUUUAUGCUUACAACUAAUAUAUAUGUGAAACUUAAUUAUUUAUAUUUUUGCAAUUUGCAUUUGUGAAGGGUUUUUUUUUUUUUUGUGCAUUUAAUAUGUACUUAUUUUAUAUUAAAAUUAAUUAAAAAUUAGUCCGUAGAGCUAUGAACUUGUGUGAUAGAUAUGAUUUAAUGAAUCCUUUUAUUUCUAGAAAAACUUUAGAAAUUGUGGGUUAAGAAAAAAUUAUUAUUAAAUUUUGAACUAAUAAUUUAACUAAUUCACCCGUUGAAAAAUUUAUGGACCCCUCCUUAAUACAUUAUCAUCAUUUUUCUCCUCAAGUGUACUUCCAUUUGACACGUGGAGAGACACACAGCAGCGCCAUACUGGCUGACUCCGGUCUGGUUGGUAGUUCAAAAGUGGGGUUGGUGGCCAUUGGGCGGUGCGAGCUCACGAGAAUCCGACUACAAAUUACAAUCCAAAAGUUGAGAGUGGGAAACGCUGAGAAAAUAUACAAAAUGGGCCCACUAAGAGACUGCCACGUUGGCACAAAGUACCAGGCUUUCAUGGCAGCACCUGAUCGCGCCACACGUCUGUACUUUCAUUAUUCUUUGUUCUUUUGCAAUGUUUUC